GGUAAUUCCCGCGACUUUAGACCGAGGCUGCAUCUUCCUUUAAAGCACCUGAGAAGCAAGAAGCCAGUCGUUUCGUGUUUCGUGUUUAAAACAAUUGUUAACUUUAGCAGCUGUUUCGUGUAUCUGUUGAAGUCAUCGAAAUAGCAACAUGAAGCGGUUAGAGUCAAGUGGAUCGGCAAUAUUUCACAUGCUGGUUUCUGCUCAUGGGCUUUAUUCAUUUUACUGGCUUCGCAUGGUUGGAGGUUUCCGUUGGACGUCAAUGUUCUACUUUACAAUAUGGUCAUUGGUUGCCCAAAUUCUCACAUCAUUCUUGUUCUUCCUGAGUGAUAUGAAAGACCUUUUCAAAGAGGGGGACAAGAAACCAAUCAAAGAUGCAAAGAUUAAAGCAAGCGUUGCUGCUGCAGAAUCAAGCCACUACAAAUUUAUCCUGUUCCAUGUGUCAUUUGUGAUGUCUAUUGCCACUGGUAUCAUGUUUUGGGUUAUAUAUACAAUUGAACCAACAGCAUUAGUACCAAAAGAAUUCUUUUACCCUGAUUUGUUGAAUCAUAUGCACCAUACCUUCCCUUGGCUGCUUUCAAUAAUUCAGAUGUUUGUGUAUGCAAAAAGGGAAAUAAAUAGUUUUUCCUUGAAAAUGGAUGUUAUGCAAGCUAAUGAAGUUGGAAUGGUAAGUAUGUUCAUAGUUGGGGCCCUAUACACUAUGACUUCGGUUGCAUCAAAGUUUUUCCGUGGGUUUUACCCCUAUCCAUUUAUGAAUUCUUUGACUUCAAUACAAUACGGCAUUUUUAGUAUGUUUGGUAUGGCUUUUGCUUUAAUGCUGAGCAAUUUGUCUAAUCAGGUGCUCUUUAAGAUUGCAAAAUCCAUGCGAACACCCAAAGCUAUCGCGAAAAAUCGCUAGAUGUCUUACCAAUAGUGUUGUAAACACUUAAAGGCAAUUCUAUCUUAAAUCAUUUUGGUGAGGCUAGGCCAGCAACUAUCUUCUGCUAAUGUAACGUGAUGUAAAAAACUUUCAAUAAAGUUUGAGUGUUUUAAAAUUUUAAUCAUGUUAUGAUUGAAUAUUGAAUUCUAUGUUUUACAAAUA